rnacentral:rRNA from 1 species
UACGAGGGGGGCGAGCGUUGUUCGGAAUUAUUGGGCGUAAAGGGUGCGUAGGCGGUUUGGUAAGUCUUAUGUGAAAUCUAACAGGCUCAACUUGUAGUCUGCAUCGGAAACUGCCGGGCUUGAGUGUGGGAGAGGUGAGUGGAAUUCCUGGUGUAGCGGUGAAAUGCGUAGAUAUCAGGAGGAACACCUGUGGCGAAAGCGGCUCACUGGACCAUGAACUGACGCUGAUGCACGAAAGCUAGGGGAGCAAACAGG